AUGUACCCCUUCUGUCCCCCCAUCUACUUCUACUUGCUCGUUUUCUGCUCCCCCUUAGUCCAAAUUGCGGCCAUCAAGGCCCGCGAGAUUCUCGAUGGUAGGCUAGUGGAGGCCCGCGCGGCUCUGCUUUCGCCUGCCGACCCCUCCCCUUCUGUGGGGGACGCCUCCCCAGCACCACCUAGGUGGCCCGGCGGCCUCCUCCCCCUCGCCGCGGCCGAGCUUAGUGGUCGUACGCGGUACCGCACCGCCGCCCUCCGCGCCCAAGCGCAUCCCGCGUCCUGGGGUCAAGCAACCCCCAAUGGCGCCUUACUGCGGGCUCUUUUCUGGAACAUCCGCGGUUUCGGCCAUGAUGGCCGACGUCGCCAACUCGUGGAAUACAUGCAUGAUGAACACAUUGAUAUUGUCGCCAUCCAAGAAACCAUGCGUAUAGAAUUUUCUCUCCCGGCGCUUGAUCGUCUGAGCUCUCACCUCUUUGCUUGGCAUUGGCUCCCUUCUAGUGGGAGCAUAGGCCACUCGGGUGGCAUCCUUUUAGGUGUCAAGGAUGCCACCUUCGAGGUGGGUAGCAUGGACCGGGGGCAAUUCUUUGUGAUCGUGGAACUCUUCGAACGGUCGCUCAACUUCAAGUGGGAGGUCAUCAUUGUCUACGGCCCGGCCGACCAUAGUAGGUUUGCUUCCUUCCUCGAGGAGGUCCACCGGAAGAUUUCGGCUGCCUCUCUUCCUGUGGUCGUUGGAGGCGAUUUCAACCUCCAUUUUGUGGAGGACAAGAGCAACGCGAACGUUAACUUUGCAUGGAUGCAAAUGUUUAAUGAUUGCAUUACUGACCUUGGCCUCCGCGAGAUUGAUAGGAUUGGUGCCAGGUUUACCACCAAUCACCAGGCCUUCCCGACCCAGUCUGUUCUGGACAGGGUCCUAGUUUCCCUGGAAUGGGACCUUCGUUGCCCUCUAGCCUCCCUUCAUGCCAUCACCAGGAUUGGAUUUGACCACGUGCCCCUCCUCCUCUCCUCCACCGAUGAGCGGCCGCUGAUUCCCCCUCGAUUCCGCUUUGAGACAUUCUGGUUUUCCCAAACCGUUUUUGUGGAGGCUGUUGGCGCCUGCUGGGUGGAGGCCCGUGCUCACCCCCACCCCGCCCUCCCUCGGCUAUUGACUCUUGGCACUUCUGCGCCAAGAGGGGCCGGCAGUUCAUGA
rnacentral:rRNA from 1 species